CAACUACUCCCUCCGUCCGGAAAUACUUGUCAUCAAAAUGGAUAAAAAUAGAUGUAUCUAAAACUAAAAUAUGUCUAGAUACAUCCCCUUUUAUCCAUUUUGAUCACAAGUAUAUUCAGACGGAGGGAGUACAGG
rfam:Triticum aestivum genome assembly, contig: Triticum_aestivum_CS42_TGACv1_scaffold_000878_1AL